GAACACCCGGCGAAUUUAAGCAUAUUACUAACCGGAGGAAAAGAAACCAACAGGGACGUCCUCAGUAGCGGCGAGCGAAGCGGACGAUGCCCAAAACCGAACCGCGGUUCCCGAGGGGCCGCGGAGUGUGGAGAGGAUGAGCUCGCGAGGGGGCGGGGACGGGUUCCAAUCCGUCUGGAAGGGCGGAGGCAACGGAGGGCGAUUCCCCGUACGUGCUCGGUCCGUCCCCGACGAGCGAACGCAUCGGAGAGUCGGGCCGCUUGAAGAGUGCAGCCCCGAAUGGGGUGAUAGGUCUCAUCCAAGGCUAAGUACGUGGGAGACGCCGAUAGCGAACAAGUACGGCGACGGAAAGGUGAAAAGAACCUCGAAAAGGGGGGUCAAAAAGCGCUCGAAAUCGUAGAGGGGAAGCGGACCUGACCGACGAGACCUCGUCGUCGGCUCGCGCUCGACCCAACGCUUCGUCGCGGAGUUCCGGA
rnacentral:rRNA from 1 species